GGCGGCGGCGUGGUCCCGCCGUCCCGCCGCCGCUAUGAACGAGGCGGUGGUGCGGCGGACUCAGGAGUCUUUGGGCCGAGUGAUCCGUAAGCCGCCGCUAACGGACCGGUUGCUGAGUAAGCCGCCCUUCCGCUACCUGCACGACGUGAUCACCGAGGUAAUUAGAGUGACAGGUUUUAUGAAAGGACUUUACACGGAUUUUGAAUUGAAAUCAGAUAAUGUUAAGGAUAAAGAUGCCAAAAUCAGCUUCCUUCAGAAGGCAAUUGACGCUGUUGUAAUGGUAACGGGAGAGCCGCUGUCUGUAAAACCGGCGCGUGUUGUGGCUGGACACGAACCUGAAAAAACCAAUGAAUUCCUUCAAGCAAUUGGGAAGUGUUGCUUAAAUAAGCUGUCAAGUGAUGUUGCUGUAAAACGGAUCUUAGCUGGGGAAAGAGUUGAUGCUAAAGGGAAACCUCCAUCCUCUAAAUCUCGAGAUAAAGAAAGCAGAGACUCCAAACCAGAAGAACAAAAAAGCCAUAGAGAUAGAGAGGGUAGAGGAGAUACUGAAAUUAAAGACAGAAGCUCAAGCAGAGACAGAAAACCCAAAGGAGAUUUGAAAGAGGGCGAAGAAAGAGAAAAGGAAAGUGAUAAACAGAAGGAUAAUGAAGACAGGCAUAAAGACCCUGAAAGAGACACCUUUAAGGAUGGAGAAAAACAAGAAAGGGAAAGAAACAAAAGCAGAACAACCAAGCAAGGAAGAGAAACAGAGAAAAACAAGGGAAAAGGAGACAUAGAACGAGAAGCUGACCUUGACCGUGAUAAAGGACAGGAAAGAGAGAAAAAAAAUGAAGGAGGAAGAGAAAAGGACAGAGUGAAAGGAAGAGACAAGGAUAAGGCUAGGGACAGAGAACGAGAGAAAGACAGAGAUAGGGGAAAAGAUCGGGAAAGGGAUAGACACAGGGACAGAGAAAAAGAUGGGGAGCAUUUAAAAGAACAUGGAAAGGAUAAAGCAGAGAAAAAGUCCGCAGAUUCUGAGGAAUCCGCACUUCGAAAAAUGCAGAGGCCAAGUAAAGACAGCAAGUGCCAGCCGGAUAAUGAGAGUGAAAGUCCUGCGGGAAUAUCAAGGCAACCUUCAACAAAAGGAUCAAGGCAACACGCCAAACCCGGAGGAGAAGGAACCGUGGAAACAAAGAGCAUGGCAGAUAAGAUUUCAGAGAACAACGUUGCUAAACCACAAGAGAAAGCUGACCCAGGACUUCCAGUAAAACAGAAAGAAGGAGAAGCAGAGAACGCAGCUCCUGAAAAGCCUGCAGUAUCUGAAAAUGGUGAAGUACCUAAUGAUCUUCCACCUCAGCCUGUCCAAAGACGUAUUCCCCGUCCGAGUAGUGCAAGACCAGCACCUCCCCGAGUAAAACGUCAAGAAAGCACAGAGGUCUUGCUUCCAGAAAGGAGUGGUAGUGGUAAAACAGUCUCCAACAUCAUCAUAGACCAGCAGAUUUCUGAUGCUGACGAUGACCAGUUUGUGGUGGAGGCAGCACCGCCACUGCCAGAAAUGCCAGAAAUGGAAAUGGAGCCAGAAGUGGAGCUGGUUGAGGAUGAAAAGCAUGGUGGCCUUGUGAAAAGAAUCCUAGAAACCAAGAAAGACUAUGAGGCGUCACAGCAAUCAUCAAAGACGACAGAGAGGGAGAAGCCCCUUGUAUCGGAAGCAGCUAGGAAGAGAGAGAGAGACUUGGUAGCCAAAGAAAUUGAGAAGUUUCAGGUCUCUAUUCAGACUCUGUGCCGGAGUGCCCUUACGCUUGGCAGGAUCAUGGAUUACAUUCAGGAGGACGUGGAUGCCAUGAAGAACGAGUUGCAGAUGUGGCGGCACGAGAACAGACAGCACGCAGAAGCUCUACAGAAAGAGCAAAGCAUCACAGACAGUGCUGUAGAACCAUUAAAAGCUGAUCUGGCUGAACUGGAACAGUUGAUUAAAGACCAGCAAGACAAGAUCUGUGCUGUAAAAGCUAAUAUUUUAAAGAACGAAGAAAAAAUCCGGAGGAUGGUUCUUAGCAUAAACCUGUCUUCAAGAAGGUGAAGAAGAGGGAAAUAAAAAAAAAAAAAAAAAAAAAAAAGCAGCCUUGGGACUGACUGACAUUCCUACCAAAUAAAAUAGCAGAGAAAACUAAGAUAUGCCUUGUUUAGAUAUAAAAUGUUAAGGGGACCAGAAGCCUAAAAAUAAUAUAAAAUCCCAUUAUUGCAUUGAUCUUUAGAUGUUGAUAUUACCCAGGAUAAAAUUAUAUUCGUUUGAAUGCUCAAGUUGCAGAGCUAUUAAAAUAAGUUGUUUGUUUAGAUGUGAACUGCUGUUACUCACUUACCAGGUCUUCCCAGCCCUCUUUCCCUGCCUGGCCUGUUGAGCGCGGUUCCUGAGCCAGUUCUCUCUGCGUCUCCUUCUCCUCAUUUCCACUGAGGUCAGAAGGUUCCUGAAUCCUGUUUGUUACUAACGGGGAAAAUAAUCUGCAAAUCAAUGCCACGAGAUGAAGAAGUAAAGCCUUGUGUAACUUGCAGUUCUUUGCACCAUUACAGAGAUGAUGUCAUGUUUUCAGAGUUAUCAGGAAUCUUAUUAGGAACAACUCAAAAUGCAAUACGAGCAUCACCAUGUAAGGGAGCAGAAGUAUUUUAUCUGCACAGGUGUUAAUUCCAUUUUUAUUGCAUAUGUUCAUUUGGAAAGGAUUAAUUUAAGUACCUGUUUCCUCCCAAAUGCAUGUUCCUGUAACUUUUUGUAUGUGAAUAAUUCCGCUGAUUUUUUUUAGUUAACUGCAG